CCGCUGCUGUCGCCGCCGCCGCCGCCAUUGGAGUCGACGCCUCCUCAGUGCGUCCGCGUCCCGGGCUCACCGCCGCUGCCGCCUCGCCAGGGGCCCGCGCGCCCAGCAGCCGCCGCCGCCGCCCGGCCGGCGCCCGGGGAAUUGGCGGCGGGGCCCGGGGCCGCGCGAGCUAGGGUGACAGGCCCGGCCUCUAGGGGAGGCCCGAGCCGGCGGGCGCCCCGGCCCCGCGUCUAGUUGUUCAUGAAGCAUGUCGGCCACCAGCGUGGACACCCAGAGAACAAAAGGACAAGAUAAUAAAGUACAAAAUGGUUCGUUACAUCAGAAGGAUACAGUUCAUGACAAUGACUUUGAGCCCUACCUUACUGGACAGUCAAAUCAGGAACGGCAGAGUCGAAACAAACAAUGAGGGCGAACCAGUUUCUUACAUGUUCUAACGUUUGACUUUGAAAACAGUUUAAAACACGUGUGCUUGGUCAGCUCCAGUGUGUCGUCCCGUGCGGGGGUUGAGUGUUGCAUCUUUGCCUUUCUUGUCGUUGAUUUUUGCCCAGAUGGAUCUGCAUUUAUUUGUACUUUUUCUAUGUAUUAUAAUCCUGUAGAAGUCACUAAUAAAGGAGUAUUUUUUUUGUCAGCUUAUCAAUCAGACUGAUCUAAUGUGAAAUGUAAGUAUCCUUAAAAACAAAGCAUCUAUUUUGGCAGAAAUUGUGUUCUUAAAUUCAGUCAUUUGAUAUUCUGUGAGACUUCAUAUUU
rnacentral:lncRNA from 10 species